rnacentral:misc_RNA from 1 species
GAUGAAGAACGUAGCGAAAUGCGAUAAGUAAUGUGCAUUGCAGAAUUCAGUGAAUCAUCGAAUCUUUGAACGCACAUUGCGCCCCUUGGUAUUCCGAGGGGCAUGCCUGUUCGAGCGUCAUUAUAACCCCUCAAGCUCAGCUUGGUGUUGGGGCCUGCUGCACUGGCAGCCCUUAAAAUCAGUGGCGGCGCCAUCUGGCUCUAAGCGUAGUAAUUCUUCUCGCUAUGGAGUCCUGGUGGAUGCUUGCCAUCAACCCCCAAUUUUUCUAUGGUUGACCUCGGAUCAGGUAGGGAUACCCGCUGAACUUAAGCAUAUCAAUAAGCGGAGGA